UUCUUGGACCGUCGCAAGACGGACCGAAGCGAAAGCGUUUGCCAAGUAUGUUUUCAUUAAUCAAGAACGAAAGUUAGAGGUUCGAAGGCGAUCAGAUACCGCCCUAGUUCUAACCAUAAACGAUGCCAGCUAGCGAUCCGCCGAAGUUCCUCCGAUGACUCGGCGGGCAGCCCCCGGGAAACCAAAGCUUUUGGGUUCCGGGGGAAGUAUGGUUGCAAAGCUGAAACUUAAAGGAAUUGACGGAAGGGCACCACCAGGAGUGGAGCCUGCGGCUUAAUUUGACUCAACACGGGAAACCUCACCAGGCCCGGACACCGGAAGGAUUGACAGAUUGAGAGCUCUUUCUUGAUUCGGUGGGUGGUGGUGCAUGGCCGUUCUUAGUUGGUGGAGCGAUUUGUCUGGUUAAUUCCGGUAACGAACGAGACUCUUACCUGCUAACUAGUCGUUUCCGGCAUCCUUCCGUGCUGCCGGCGGAAACCCUUCUUCUUAGAGGGACAAGCGGCUACUAGCCGCGCGAAACUGAGCAAUAACAGGUCUGUGAUGCCCUUAGAUGUUCUGGGCCGCACGCGCGCUACACUGAAGGAAUCAGCGUGUCCUCCUAGCCCGAAAGGGCCGGGCAACCCGUUGAACCUCCUUCGUGCUAGGGAUUGGGGCUUGCAAUUGUUUCCCAUGAACGAGGAAUUCCCAGUAAGCGCGAGUCAUAAGCUCGCGUUGAUUACGUCCCUGCCCUUUGUACACACCGCCCGUCGCUACUACCGAUUGAAUGAUUUAGUGAGGUCUUCGGACCGGUGCGCGGCCUCCGCCUCGCGCGGUGGCCGAUGCUACUGGGAAGAUGCCCAAACUUGAUUAUUUAGAGGAA
rnacentral:rRNA from 1 species